GUCCUCAAGGAUGGAAGAAGUUUGGUAGCAGUUGUUACUACGUCUCUACUGAGUACAAAUCCUGGGAGGAGAGCAGACAGGACUGCAGAGAUAGAGGAGCAGACCUGGUGGUUAUCAACAGCGAAGACGAUCAGACUUUUGUCAAUUGGUUAUGUGGAGUAAAGAACUAUGUCUGGAUUGGUCUGACUGACUCUGUUACUGAGGGACCUGGAAAUGGGUGGACGACACACCACUGACCACAGCGUAUUGGAACAGUGGACAG